GCCGCCAUCGUCUAUCGGUUAGGACGCCAGGUUCUCAUCCUGGUAAGAGGGGUUCGACUCCCCUUGGCGGCACCA
rnacentral:tRNA from 1 species